rnacentral:rRNA from 1 species
UACGGAGGGAGCAAGCGUUACUCGGAAUCAUUGGGCGUAAAGGGCGCGUAGGCGGUCUCUCAAGUGGAUGGUGAAAUCCCCGGGCUUAACCUGGGAACUGCCGUCCAAACUGAGCGACUUGAGUCCGGGAGAGGUAAGUGGAAUUCCCAGUGUAGCGGUGAAAUGCGUAGAUAUUGGGAGGAACACCAGUGGCGAAGGCGGCUUACUGGACCGGAACUGACGCUGAGGCGCGAAAGCGUGGGGAGCAAACAGG